rnacentral:rRNA from 1 species
UCGUCUCUAAGCGUUGUGGCAUAUAUUUCGCUAAAGAGUUCGGGCGGCUUUUGGCCGUUAAAUCUUUUCAAAGGUUGACCUCGGAUCAGGUAGGGAUACCCGCUGAACUUAAGCAUAUCAAUAAC